GCAUAUCAAUAAGCGGAGGAAAAGAAACUAACAAGGAUUCCCCUAGUAACGGCGAGUGAAGCGGGAAGAGCUCAAAUUUGUAAUCUGGCACCUUCGGUGUCCGAGUUGUAAUCUCGAGAAGUGUUUUCCGCGCCGGACCGCAUACAAGUCUGUUGGAAUACAGCGUCAUAGUGGUGAGAACCCCGUAACUGAUGCGGAUGCCCGGUGCUUUGUGAUACACUUUCGAAGAGUCGAGUUGUUUGGGAAUGCAGCUCAAAUUGGGUGGUAAAUUCCAUCUAAAGCUAAAUAUUGGCGAGAGACCGAUAGCGAACAAGUACCGUGAGGGAAAGAUGAAAAGCACUUUGGAAAGAGAGUUAACAGUACGUGAAAUUGUUGGAAGGGAAACGCUUGAAGUCAGACUUGCUAUUUGGAAUUCAGCCGCAAGGUGUACUUUUCAAUUCGCAGGCCAGCAUCAGUUUUCGGGGGUGGAAAAGGGUAGAGAGAAGGUAGCAAUUUCGGUUGUGUUAUAGCUCUUUGCUGGAUUCAUCCUUGGGGACUGAGGAACGCAGCACGCUUUUUGCAAGGCUUUCGAGCUUUCGUGCU
rnacentral:rRNA from 1 species